UACGUAGGGUGCGAGCGUUAAUCGGAAUUACUGGGCGUAAAGCGUGCGCAGGCGGUCUGUUAAGACCGAUGUGAAAUCCCCGGGCUUAACCUGGGAACUGCAUUGGUGACUGGCAGGCUUUGAGUGUGGCAGAGGGAGGUAGAAUUCCACGUGUAGCAGUGAAAUGCGUAGAGAUGUGGAGGAAUACCGAUGGCGAAGGCAGCCUCCUGGGCCAACACUGACGCUCAUGCACGAAGCGUGGGGAGCAAACAG
rnacentral:rRNA from 1 species